AUGAAGACUAGAACUUGGAGGUGUGUUCUGAAAAAAAUCAGAGAACCAGAAAAACCAGGGAGACCCUGCCUUAGUAGGGAAGGGAGACUCCCUUCCCCAAUGUCUAAGGACUGAAGGUACCCCACCCAAGGAGGAAGAGGACAUCUCAGUAUAACUGGAAAUCGUCAGCCCAGGAGGAAAAGGCAGACAUUUACAACAAGGAAAUUUCAAAGGGACAUGAAUUCUACCCACGAAAAAGGAACCUGCUCUUCUGAAUUAUUCUGUGACACUCACUACCUCUGCUGUAUGGAGAUAAAUAACCUCUUUACGUGGUGCAUGUGUGCCAAGGUCUAAUAUAUAUGUAAAAGAAUUAUGAUGAUAAAAUUAACAUUAAGAAUGUCACCCGUACUUCAGCUUCGGUAAUAUGGUCACAUGACCAUUAUACCUGUCCCAACGAGUUUUACAGGGUAAUAUAUUGGCC